rnacentral:rRNA from 12 species
UUUAGCAGCUGCACUGAAGUGUGAGUACCCAAUAGCACCUACUCUUGGAAGCUAAGCAGGGCCAUGCCUGAUUAGUACUUGGAUGGGAAAUCAACUUGACAGAUCAGGGGCUACUAUCC